UUGCCCCAGAGUAGAAGGAAGUGAAAUCCCUGCCACCAGCUAGAACAGUAGGUGACUAGAUUGUCCUUUGGCUAUUAGAAAGAACAAAGUCAAAAUACUGAAAAAGGAUAAAUAACACACAGACAGAUAUUUUGAAAUGAC